GGUUUAUGCAAUUUUCAGGAAUUCAAGUUAGCCUUGAAGGAAGUUCAUGAAUGUCUAAAUUCUUUCUGAGAGAACUACAGAAGGAUGGGUUCGAGCAAGAGGAAAAGUGAAUCCAAGGAAUGGGGUGGGAUAUAAGCAAUAGUGUGACAGGAAUUGAGAUACAACCUGAAUAUCCAUCAAAAGAAGAAUGGUUACAAAAG